UACGGGGGGAGCAAGCGUUGUUCGGAUUUACUGGGCGUAAAGGGCGCGUAGGCGGCGCAACAAGUCACUUGUGAAAUCUCCGGGCUUAACCCGGAGCGGUCAAGUGAUACUGUCGUGCUAGAGUGCGGAAGGGGCUACUGGAAUUCUCGGUGUAGCGGUGAAAUGCGUAGAUAUCGCUUGGAACGCCAAUGGUGAAAACGAGGUAGCUGGGGGUGUGCUGGACACUGAGACACGAAAGCCAGGGGAGGCAAACGGG
rnacentral:rRNA from 1 species